rnacentral:rRNA from 1 species
CUAUAAUGCAAGUCGAGCGAAUGGAUUGAGAGCUUGCUCUUAUGAAGUUAGCGGCGGACGGGUGAGUAACACGUGGGUAACCUGCCCAUAAGACUGGGAUAACUCCGGGAAACCGGGGCUAAUACCGGAUAACAUUUUGAACUGCAUGGUUCGAAAUUGAAAGGCGGCUUCGGCUGUCACUUAUGGAUGGACCCGCGUCGCAUUAGCUAGUUGGUGAGGUAACGGCUCACCAAGGCAACGAUGCGUAGCCGACCUGAGAGGGUGAUCGGCCACACUGGGACUGAGACACGGCCCAGACUCCUACGGGAGGCAGCAGUAGGGAAUCUUCCGCAAUGGACGAAAGUCUGACGGAGCAACGCCGCGUGAGUGAUGAAGGCUUUCGGGUCGUAAAACUCUGUUGUUAGGGAAGAACAAGUGCUAGUUGAAUAAGCUGGCACCUUGACGGUACCUAACCAGAAAGCCACGGCUAACUACGUGCCAGCAGCCGCGGUAAUACGUAGGUGGCAAGCGUUAUCCGGAAUUAUUGGGCGUAAAGCGCGCGCAGGUGGUUUCUUAAGUCUGAUGUGAAAGCCCACGGCUCAACCGUGGAGGGUCAUUGGAAACUGGGAGACUUGAGUGCAGAAGAGGAAAGUGGAAUUCCAUGUGUAGCGGUGAAAUGCGUAGAGAUAUGGAGGAACACCAGUGGCGAAGCGACUUUCUGGUCUGUAACUGACACUGAGG